ensembl:lncRNA
AUGAAAUUGACUACACAACAACUUUCCAUCAAGCUCAGGGACACAGUUCAGCAGCAGUCUGUCUCUUCUCUCUCUCUCUCUCUCUCUCUCUGUGUGUGUGUGUGUGUGUGUUGGGUCUCGGCUGAGCUGUUCCCUCUCCACGCACAUGCAAAUACACUGUUGAAGCUCGACCAAUCAAAGUGCUCCUUCCUGUCUAAUGAAGCCUAAAACCAUUGUCCCGUUACCAACCGGAGCACAGUCAUCACCAGAGUUUCACUAUAACCACUAAAAUCGCAAUUUUUUUGAAUAAAUUAAAGAGAGGCUGGUGUAAGAUUGGCACCAUGCUGUUUUUAUUGCUAAAUUUCAUAUACAGAUUUCUUUUUUUUUUUAAAUUGUACAAAAUCAAGAGGUUUAUCUUAGCAUGCUUAGCGCAUCGGUAGUGCAUAGAUUUAACCAAACAUACUGUACAGUGUUCCCAUCUUGUGAAAGAAAAAAAAAAUACAACAUGCUGGGGAAGAAAACAAUAUAACUUUGUUCAAAAUUGUGACAAUGGCAGUCAGGGGAUUAGAUUCCAGUUGGGAAUAACAAUUUAACCCGCUCGAGGUCACGAGUCUACUGUCGUCACGUGAUCCGUUUGAACGCUUGAAAUAACGCACGGGUUGGAUGUGAGUGAAGACCGGGUAACAGAUCGGCGCUGAGAUUUCGCCCUUCCGCCAGGAUCUGAUGCGUAAAGCUAAUACCGGAGGGCGUGAUUGAUUUAUUUAUUUAUUUAUCGUGCGCAUACAUUUUUGUAAUUUUAUUUCCAUCAGCCGAGUAUAGCAGCAAGCUUGUACGAAAUUAUUUUAUUAGUGUCCACCUCCUUUAGGAUCAUUCCCAUCAUCAGGUGACGGGUUGAUACAGAUAAUACUGCAGAUCCCUCUUGACGAGAUGUAUUUCAAAAUUAAAAAAAGGAAAGUUACAUACAGAAUGGGUUAUAAUAAAGCACGUGAGAUGAGUGUGUGUGUGUGUGUGUGGAAGGGGGGGGGCAUAUAGAUACACAACCUGUUUUUCUUUUUUUUUUCUUUUUUAAAACAGAGCUGAGGGAAGAAUCAAACACAAUCGGUCCACUCGCUUGACUUCACAUUUUUGCGUUAUAUUUUCUCCGAGCAAAAGCUUCAUUAUUGCAUGCAGCACAACACACGUGGUAGCCACUUCUACCAUGCAGUAGCUAAUUUAUCCCUCCCCCUACAUUCCCAUAUAGAAACACCGACAGGCUCACUGGAUAAACGAUGUUCAGUGCGUGUGAAGAGCGUACCGUAGCGUCUGAAAUGAGCCGUCCGCGUCACCGUCACCUCUCUCCUAUUGCUUUCCGACUGCAUAAUCGGGAUCUGUGCGUUUUCUGCUGAUGUAGUGAUAGAAAAUCAUGCAGUGUGCAUAAAGAAGUACGUUCUCAGACAUUUUUCUCUCAUGACGACGUUCCCGUACAACGUUUUUGGUUUUUAACGAACACGUGAGCUCAGUUUUGGCCUCCUGGAGAAUCCAGUUUGCUUUAGUAAUAAACCAACAGCCACUGAUGGCUUAACACACACACACACACACACACACACACACACACACCAAGGCUAGAAAUAUGCUACAGGUCAUUCCACGAAACACCAUUCUGGCACUAUAGAGUUCAUGCAUAAUAAGAUUAUUGCUUCUAAAUGACGAGGGUGCGUCCGUGCCGAAAACGUUCGGAGCACUCGCGACUCGGCAAUACUGAACGGUCGCAAAUGAGACGUGGAGGAUGUUUUAUUUCUGUAAAUAUCCAAUUAAAAUGACUGGGAUAUAACUGGUGCGAUAUAAAUAUAAAGGGUUGAUAGAUGCACCAAAAAGUAAACGU